CCAGUGAGCUCUUGUGCCUUAGAACCAGUGUGGUUGGACACAAGAAGCUCUGGAUCACGGCCUAACAGGUGCAGCAACUCUUCACAGCUUUGCGCACACUUCACACUUCACACUUCAGCUUCACCUCUUCAUGGAACCGGUUUGAAGUCUCCCCCUCUCAACUGACUUCACAGCCAUCUUAGAGAAGCUAGGACACGACCAGAUCAUCUUCAAAACACUAGUGAGGCUGAUCAACACUUCACACACGGCUUGCCCUCUUCCUAGAACUGGUUUGGAUCUCCCCCUCUCAACAGACUUCUCAGCCAUCUUAGAGAAGCUCGGAACUG
rnacentral:lncRNA from 1 species